AUGAAUUAUUUACUACCACAUUGCCAGUGACUAUAUAUUGUGAAGUUUUAGCAAUUUCAAAAGAGUAUAAACAGUAUUUACGAUUGAUGUCUCAUUUUUUCCUGCUAGGAAGCAAGAAAGGCAGCAAGCUUAAUGGUAAAGUGGUACCAGGAUCAUCCCCAAGGAUCUUCAGGGUCUUUUGAAGAUGGCCAUAGAUGGUUCGGUCGCUGGCUUCUCAAGUCAACAGAAUCUUCUAUGGAUCAGAAAGACACCUGGAAUCCUCUUUUACAUGUCCUCUGCAGACGAAUUCAUCCUGAAUUCUGGGGAAGGAUUGUAGCAACUGGUUUGCAUGAAGAAACUUCCAAGGUUGAGGCCCUGGCUUUUCCAGGAGUGAUGGGAGUCGAUUCAACCUGCCAUGUCUCCAUGCCAAGACAAAAGUGUGGUGGGUUAUUAUCUGAGAGUGACUGCAGACAGUCAGGUUGUGUAUCUACAGCAGUGACUGGAGGAGGAAUGACCACUGGGAGGAAAACACCAUU